ACGAACGCUUGCGGCGUGCUUAACACAUGCCAGUCGGACGGAAAGGCCCUGCUUUUGUGGGGUGCUCGAGUGGCGAACGGGUGAGUAACACGUGAGUAACCUGCCCUUGACUUUGGGAUAACUUCAGGAAACUGGGGCUAAUACCGGAUAGGAGCUCCUGCUGCAUGGUGGGGGUUGGAAAGUUUCGGCGGUUGGGGAUGGACUGGCGGCUUAUCAGCUUGUUUGUGGGGUAGUGGCUUACCAAGGCUUUGCCGGGUAGCCGGCCUGAGAGGGUGACCGGCCACAAGAGGACUAAGAUACGGCGCAGACUCGAACGGGAGGCAGCAGUGGGGAAUAUUACACAAUGAGCGGGAGCCUGAUGCAGAAACGCCGCGUGCGGGAUGACGGCCUUCGGGGUGUGAACCGCUUUCGCCUGUGACGAAGCGUGAGUGACGGUAAUGGAUAAAGAAGCACCGGCUAACUACGUG
rnacentral:rRNA from 1 species